rnacentral:snRNA from 1 species
GGAUGUGAGGGCCAUCUGCCUGUGACACCCGUCACCACACUGAUCUCCAGGCUUGAGUCAGCCCAUGUGCCUGCCCAAGCCCAGGUCCCCUUCCUCACCCAGAGCUCCAUGUGCAUCCCUCCCAAAGCUGCUGGGGCGCAGAGGACGACCUCCCCGAUACAGACAGUACAUUUUAUCACACAAGGCUAUUCGUUAGCUGCGCUCCCUGCCACAACCUUCCAAUCAAACCAAGUUCCAUUCCUCCAUUGGAGGGCCAUCCCGGUAGUCAGACAUAAAAUUUUACGAAAAACAGGAUUUUACACGUCC